rnacentral:piRNA from 1 species
UCCUGAAAACGCCACGGUGUAGCCA